GCAGCCGCUUUGCGAAAAGCAGAAGUUAGUUUGGGCUAAGAAAAAAAAUAAAACAAUAGGAGGGAGAUUCCGGCCUGCCCCAAGCAGCCCUGAUUGGCUGAGAUGGGCUUCCCAGGAGGGGAAGGCAGGGGGAAAUUCGUUGGUCCCCUCGGCAUAAAAUGCCCGGGAAGGAGCGGAGCAGAGCGGGCCGGAAUGCAGCUUGUGCGCGCGGCUGGUCAGACGGCCGAGUCCCUGCGGGCAGGGCAAGGCAAGGCGGGGCCCGGCCCGGCCCGGCUGACUCUUUGGUACUGUCCAGCACGGCUAAGCGAGGCCACCUAUCUGGCGAUGUCGCCUUCCGAAGUCGGCCAGGAAAUCCCCCAGUGGAUUAGAUGGAACCUCCACCCGGUUAUUUUCAGCACCUCUGUUGGAGAAACCAGGUUUUGAAAGAGGCCAACGACCUGUCUUGGGUGCUCACGUGCAGGAGAUGGAGGCAUAGAUCUCUCCUGACAUUGUUCCCUGCAACUGGUAUUUGGAGGCAAGCUGCCCCCAACCUGGAAGUAACACUGAGUCCUCAAGAUCAACAAGCCUUAGGAAAUGUGUCUGUCAUGAAUUUACCCUACCACUAUUACAGCCAUCCAUGUUGCCGGCCAUCACCACAUCUUGUGGUAAUAAAUCCUGCCAGUUAAUUGUGCACUGCGUGAAGAAAAAGGCCUGAACCUUGAAAAGCGAGGUCUGAAUCUUCAGAGGGACAUGAAUCCAGUUGUUGAGACUUUGCAGACAGAUCAUCAAUCUCAAGAAUAAUCUGAAAGGUGGACUUUGCUGCCGUUCCUUCAGGAGAGGCCAAUCUGGGUUUGCAAGAGGUAUUUCUUUGCCUGAAUUGCUUUACACAACAUGCUGUCACAGUGAGUGUACAAAGUGGGAGGAGAUAGGGAGUGGCCAUCUGCUGACAUGUUAUGGCUGCAUGGGCUAUUCAGAACUUACCCUAUGCUUGGGCCAAAAGGAGUUCCUUUAGUAUAUCUUCUCGUUAACAAAACACACCACGCUUGGAGGGAUGGAGAGGCAAAACUGGGGGAUGGGAGUAUCCCAGAAUACAAAAGUGUCCUCACCAAGGUGUCCUUUACUUUACAGAAAAAAAUGUGUAGGGACACAGUUGUUUUCCUCCAUGAGCAGAAAUGAAGCUAGGUGCUCCUCCUCUGUUGGGAAAGAGAUUAACAUCCUCUUCUUCCACCAACCUGAUCCUCUCAUCCAAAUCCAAGCCCUGCUAGGGCGCUUUUCAUUUUCCCAAACAAGAGGGUUGUAUCCUUAAGACUACUGCUGUUUCCAGCAUCCUUAUAAAGGAAGAAAAACUCUUGCACCCAAUGUCACUGUGGUAUAGAGAUUUGAAGAGAGUUCUGUAUACUUCUGAAUCUCUCUUCUCUCUCUAGCUUGCAUCAUAAGUGGUUACUACAGAUGCUUCUUCUGCAAUAAAUGGGAUACUGGUGCCUCUCUGGAUGUUGCUAAAUGACAAUUCUCCAUAGGAUUGAUAGGGCAGCUGAGGCUGUUGUGAGGAUUGACAUCUUUUUACCCACUUUACAGAGUCUGCAGGAGAAUGUGUGAAGCUUCUUACCAAAAUGGGGAAACCCCAAAACCCAGUGCCUGUCCUGACAUAUCAAUUGUGACAAGAAGGAAUUCUGACUUUACUGCAGAGUAGGAAUUUCUGCAUGCUCGAUUCUUUUCAUGGAUGGCAUUUGAAUGUUUUUUCUUCCCCAAACAGACUGAGAUGAUGUGCUAAAACUGUAACUCCCCAAAUUUGAAGGCAUUUCUGCUCACUGGGGGGGAUCAGAAGGUAUGGACUGAAACGUCCUUGGGUACGCUCUAGCCCAAUGGGAACUGGGAGGAAUCUUCCUCAACCGUAGACUGUGCUGUCUAAAUCAGAUUAACGCUAAGGUGUCAGAUUAGCCUUGCUGAGUUUGGUGUUCUCCAAAUGGGUUGAAUGAUGUCUCCCGGAAGUCACAGUUAGCAUGUGUUUGUGGCUGUAAGAUGAGGUUUGAUACCUCUGGAGGACACUAAGUUGGGGAAGGUAGCCUCAAAACCUCAUGUGGGAAAAGCAUGCCGUUUUUUUUUUUUUGAGUGGAUGAUUUGUUGGGCUUUUCAUGUCAAAUUACAGGAGACAUCAUUGCAACAGAUCCAGAAUUCACUUAGUGUUGCUUCUCUUCUUUGGAUAGGUAGUUGAGGCAAAAAGCAGGAAGAGGCAUGCAUGUGGGAACACCUCCAGCGUGGAUCAGAUAUCUAGAUGCUCAUAUACGGAGGAGGAUUCAGGAAGAGAAAUUGCCGAGGAAUGACACGAUCACUCCCGCUGAGCGAGUGGACGCAGAGCCACGGGGCUGUCGUGUCUGUCCUGAGCUUUUUCCAAGAUCCCAGAUGAGCCCAUGAAAGGGACUGAGAGCAGCAUCUGCAAUCGUGUGAUGCUGUUUGUGUCUGGUCCCUCGUUUAGCUCUAGUCCCAGCAGAAUAAUUGGAAAGACAGAGACACUGUUCAUACAACACGCAGUUAAUCCAGCCACUUGUUUGCAUACUACACUGAACCAUACACUAGCAAACUGCAUUUUAGCCUAAUGUGUGAACAGAGUCGUCAUAACCACCAAGAAUAGAUGCUCUUACAACGUUUUUUCCCUAUGGCCAUUUCCAUAUUGGGGAUUUAUAGCAUCUUUUGGUGUUACUACUUCAUGGCCAUAACACUAUAAUGGCUCUCUUUAUUACUGAUACCUCACCACAGCACUAAAUGAUGGGAUAAAUCACUAUCUUGGAAUUGCAUAAUGCUACACAAUAAGGAAAAAGAGAAUCAAACACCCUCGGGGUUUUAUCACAUUGGAUUUCUUGUCCAAAGCAAUAUCUGGCUCAUUUCAUCAUAACUGUGUGUUAACUUUAAUAUUGGAUAGCAUGAAGUGGAGAAGUUUAACAUUUUAUGAGAAAAUAUAAUUACAGUCUAGUCAGUCAUUAUUCAUUUAUUGAUUUAAAAGCAAAAACAUGAAACAAUUAAGUGGUUUGGGGAAUAGAACAGUUAAAUAUUUGAACAAAUAUAUCCAGGUUUUCCUACUUAUUCUGACUGGCUUGUACACAGGCCAGAAUGGGAGCUAUCAUGUAAUAUUGUUUGCUAAUAAAAUACUUAUCUUAAAAUAAAAGGUAAGCAUUGGUUUCUCAGGUGUGCUUAUGGGAGGGGGGAAUCAAACAUUUUUCUAAAUGACAAAUGAUAGACACCUGUAAAUAAAAAAGUGGUCCAGAUCCUCCAUGUUGCUAAAACCACAAAGGGAAACUUAUAAAUGGGAAUCUCUGCCUUGGUGCAUUGAAUGUCUGCAUCUGUGACCUCAUCUUUCGACUAUGCCAGACAAGUGGUAAGUAACCAUAUGAUGCUGCCUUUUACCCAAUUAGAAUACUGGUAAAAUUACUCUAAUGUUAAUCUACUUUGAUGGCUCCCCAGGCAGGACUUCAGCUCGAGGCGAUUAUCUGGCCUUCUGUCUAAAAUGUCUUUAACUGGAGACAGGGUAGAGCAAGUUUUGUGGAUGAGAAAUACACAUGCUUUAUUCUUGGCUACCACAUUCCCCUAAUAGGUAUUCAUAUUAGUACCUCCAAUCUUAAUCACUUAGUCAAAGAUUUAACGCCUGUUUUUAUGGGUUAGAGUUAGGGUUAGGAACUCAGUUGAAUUUUUGCCCAGGGUGUUAUGACAACACAGUCAUGGUGGGCCAGCCCUGCUGUUGGGCAAAUAGUGACAGUAGCUGAGGAGGCAGAUGCUGAGAAUGGGAUGAAGAAUGGCAGCAGUUGGGCAGAACAGUGGGAACUGAGAAACAACAUGUUGAAAGAGUCGUGACUUUGAAAAGUCAGUCUGCUGCCAUCAGCUUUACUGGCUCUUCCAUUAAUGGUGGUUUCCAUGUAUACAAUGGCUCAGAUUGGAUGAGUUAAUGGAAGUUAUGGAAAAGUGUAUCCUGUACCAUAUGUCAGCUAUCCAGCUGAAGCAAAAGGGAUUCAAGAUGGCUCUAAUUUUUACUGUUUCUGGUUUGAGAAUGAAUAGCCAACUCCUCUGCAUGUUUAUUUGGAAGCAGUCAUGCCCCACUAAGUUUACUAAGCAUGCAUAGAAUUGUGGUAUAAAUGGGAUUUGAAUGGCAGCCAUCAAUAAUGCAGUCAAGUGCCCAAGUUUUCUGUUAAUUGUAUCACAUAUACACAAUUACUCAUUUUAAAAAUGUAAGGCUAAACCUGACAUGUUUAAAAGGUGAGAACAACCCAACCUUAUCCAUACUAGGGUCUCAGAUGGCAGUAUUUAUCUCUGUGAGCUAACUUUCCUGCUACACACCUGGGGUAGUUUUCACAGCUGCGAUCUUCCCCACCUCACCCUAAAAAGGAUGCAAACUAUGGGCAUGCAAAGAAGGAUC